rnacentral:rRNA from 1 species
GAUGAACGCUGGCGGCGUGCCUAAUACAUGCAAGUCGAGCGAACAGACGAGGAGCUUGCUCCUCUGACGUUAGCGGCGGACGGGUGAGUAACACGAGGAUAACCUACCUAUAAGACUGGGAUAACUUCGGGAAACCGGAGCUAAUACCGGAUAAUAUAUUGAACCGCAUGGUUCAAUAGUGAAAGACGGUUUUGCUGUCACUUAUAGAUGGAUCCGCGCCGCAUUAGCUAGUUGGUAAGGUAACGGCUUACCAAGGCAACGAUGCGUAGCCGACCUGAGAGGGUGAUCGGCCACACUGGAACUGAGACACGGUCCAGACUCCUACGGGAGGCAGCAGUAGGGAAUCUUCCGCAAUGGGCGAAAGCCUGACGGAGCAACGCCGCGUGAGUGAUGAAGGUCUUCGGAUCGUAAAACUCUGUUAUUAGGGAAGAACAAAUGUGUAAGUAACUAUGCACGUCUUGACGGUACCUAAUCAGAAAGCCACGGCUAACUACGUG